GAUGAACGCUGGCGGCGUGCCUAAUACAUGCAAGUCGAGCGAACGGACGAGAAGCUUGCUUCUCUGAUGUUAGCGGCGGACGGGUGAGUAACACGUGGAUAACCUACCUAUAAGACUGGGAUAACUUCGGGAAACCGGAGCUAAUACCGGAUAAUAUUUUGAACCGCAUGGUUCAAAAGUAAAAGACGGUCUUGCUGUCACUUAUAGAUGGAUCCGCGCUGCAUUAGCUAGUUGGUAAGGUAACGGCUUACCAAGGCAACGAUGCAUAGCCGACCUGAGAGGGUGAUCGGCCACACUGGAACUGAGACACGGUCCAGACUCCUACGGGAGGCAGCAGUAGGGAAUCUUCCGCAAUGGGCGAAAGCCUGACGGAGCAACGCCGCGUGAGUGAUGAAGGUCUUCGGAUCGUAAAACUCUGUUAUUAGGGAAGAAUAUAUGUGUAAGUAACUGUGCACAUCUUGACGGUACCUAAUCAGAAAGCCACGGCUAACUACGUGCCAGCAGCCGCGGUAAUACGUAGGUGGCAAGCGUUAUCCGGAAUUAUUGGGCGUAAAGCGCGCGUAGGCGGUUUUUUAAGUCUGAUGUGAAAGCCCACGGCUCAACCGUGGAGGGUCAUUGGAAACUGGAAAACUUGAGUGCAGAAGAGGAAAGUGGAAUUCCAUGUGUAGCGGUGAAAUGCGCAGAGAUAUGGAGGAACACCAGUGGCGAAGGCGACUUUCUGGUCUGUAACUGACGCUGAUGUGCGAAAGCGUGGGGAUCAAACAGGAUUAGAUACCCUGGUAGUCCACGCCGUAAACGAUGAGUGCUAAGUGUUAGGGGGUUUCCGCCCCUUAGUGCUGCAGCUAACGCAUUAAGCACUCCGCCUGGGGAGUACGACCGCAAGGUUGAAACUCAAAGGAAUUGACGGGGACCCGCACAAGCGGUGGAGCAUGUGGUUUAAUUCGAAGCAACGCGAAGAACCUUACCAAAUCUUGACAUCCUCUGAUCCCCCUAGAGAUAGAGGUUUCCCCUUCGGGGGACAGAGUGACAGGUGGUGCAUGGUUGUCGUCAGCUCGUGUCGUGAGAUGUUGGGUUAAGUCCCGCAACGAGCGCAACCCUUAAGCUUAGUUGCCAUCAUUAAGUUGGGCACUCUAAGUUGACUGCCGGUGACAAACCGGAGGAAGGUGGGGAUGACGUCAAAUCAUCAUGCCCCUUAUGAUUUGGGCUACACACGUGCUACAAUGGACAAUACAAAGGGCAGCGAAACCGCGAGGUCAAGCAAAUCCCAUAAAGUUGUUCUCAGUUCGGAUUGUAGUCUGCAACUCGACUAUAUGAAGCUGGAAUCGCUAGUAAUCGUAGAUCAGCAUGCUACGGUGAAUACGUUCCCGGGUCU
rnacentral:rRNA from 1 species